UAGGGAAUCUUCCGCAAUGGACGAAAGUCUGACGGAGCAACGCCGCGUGAGUGAAGAAGGAUUUCGGUUCGUAAAACUCUGUUGUUAGGGAAGAAAAAAUGUAUAGUAACUAUAUACAAAAGAGACGGUACCUAACCAGAAAGCCACGGCUAACUACGUGCCAGCAGCCGCGGUAAUACGUAGGUGGCAAGCGUUGUCCGGAAUUAUUGGGCGUAAAGCGCGCGCAGGUGGUUUAGAAAGUCUGAUGUGAAAGCCCACGGCUCAACCGUGGAGGGUCAUUGGAAACUAAUAAACUUGAGUGCAGGAGAGAAAAGUGGAAUUCCUAGUGUAGCGGUGAAAUGCGUAGAGAUUAGGAGGAACACCGGUGGCGAAAGCGGCUUUUUGGCCUGCAACUGACAUUGAGGCGCGAAAGCGUGGGGAGCAAACAGG
rnacentral:rRNA from 1 species